CGGAGGGUGCAAGCGUUAUCCGGAUUCACUGGGUUUAAAGGGUGCGUAGGUGGGUCUGUAAGUCCGUGGUGAAAUCUCCGAGCUUAACUUGGAAACUGCCAUGGAUACUAUAGGUCUUGAAUACCGUGGAGGUCAGCGGAAUAUGUCAUGUAGCGGUGAAAUGUUUAGAUAUGACAUAGAACACCAAUUGCGAAGGCAGCUGGCUACACGAAUAUUGACACUGAGGCACGAAAGCGUGGGGAUCAAACAGGAUUAGAUACCCUGGUAGUCCACGCCCUAAACUAUGGAUACUCGACAUACGCGAUACACUGUGUGUGUCUGAGCGAAAGCAUUAAGUAUCCCACCUGGGAAGUACGAUCGCAAGAUUG
rnacentral:rRNA from 1 species